rnacentral:rRNA from 1 species
UACAGAGGUCCCAAGCGUUGUUCGGAUUCAUUGGGCGUAAAGGGUGCGUAGGCGGCGCGGUAAGUCGGGUGUGAAAUCUCGGAGCUUAACUCCGAAACUGCAUUCGAUACUGCCGUGCUUGAGGACUGGAGAGGAGACUGGAAUUUACGGUGUAGCGGAUGAAAUGCGUAGAUAUCGUAAGGAAGACCAGUGGCGAAGGCGGGUCUCUGGACAGUUCCUGACGCUGAGGCACGAAGGCUAGGGGAGCAAACGGG